GACGAACGCUGGCGGCGUGCCUAAUACAUGCAAGUCGAGCGAAGUUUUUCUGGUGCUUGCACUAGAAAAACUUAGCGGCGAACGGGUGAGUAACACGUAAAGAACCUGCCUCAUAGACGGGGACAACUAUUGGAAACGAUAGCUAAUACCGGAUAACAGCAUAAAUCGCAUGAUAUAUGUUUAAAAGUUGGUUUCGGCUAACACUAUGAGAUGGCUUUGCGGUGCAUUAGCUAGUUGGUGGGGUAAAGGCCUACCAAGGCGGCGAUGCAUAGCCGACCUGAGAGGGUGAUCGGCCACACUGGGACUGAGACACGGCCCAGACUCCUACGGGAGGCAGCAGUAGGGAAUCUUCCGCAAUGGGCGAAAGCCUGACGGAGCAACGCCGCGUGAGUGAAGAAGGAUUUCGGUUCGUAAAGCUCUGUUGUUAGGGAAGAAUGAUUGUAUAGUAACUAUAUACAGUAGAGACG
rnacentral:rRNA from 1 species